rnacentral:rRNA from 1 species
GACGAACCGUGCGAACGUUGUUCGGAUUCACUGGGCUUAAAGGGCGCGUAGGCGGACUCGCCAGUCUGUGGUGAAAGCCCCCAGCUCAACUGGGGAAGUGCCGUGGAUACUGCGAGUCUGGAGGAGGGUAGGGGCAUCUGGAACGCUGGGUGGAGCGGUGAAAUGCGUUGAUAUCCAGCGGAACUCCGGUGGCGAAGGCGAGGUGCUGGACCGUUUCUGACGCUGAGGCGCGAAAGCCAGGGGAGCAAACGGG